UAAACGAUGUCGACUUGGAGGUUGUGCCCUUGAGGCGUGGCUUCCGGAGCUAACGCGUUAAGUCGACCGCCUGGGGAGUACGGCCGCAAGGUUAAAACUCAAAUGAAUUGACGGGGGCCCGCACAAGCGGUGGAGCAUGUGGUUUAAUUCGAUGCAACGCGAAGAACCUUACCUACUCUUGACAUCCACAGAAUUUGGCAGAGAUGCUAAAGUGCCUUCGGGAACUGUGAGACAGGUGCUGCAUGGCUGUCGUCAGCUCGUGUUGUGAAAUGUUGGGUUAAGUCCCGCAACGAGCGCAACCCUUAUCCUUUGUUGCCAGCACGUAAUGGUGGGAACUCAAGGGAGACUGCCGGUGACAAACCGGAGGAAGGUGGGGAUGACGUCAAGUCAUCAUGGCCCUUACGAGUAGGGCUACACACGUGCUACAAUGGCAGAUACAAAGUGAAGCGAACUCGCGAGAGCCAGCGGACCACAUAAAGUCUGUCGUAGUCCGGAUUGGAGUCUGCAACUCGACUCCAUGAAGUCGGAAUCGCUAGUAAUCGUAGAUCAGAAUGCUACGGUGAAUACGUUCCCGGGCCUUGUACACACCGCCCGUCACACCAUGGGAGUGGGUUGCAAAAGAAGUAGGUAGCUUAACCUUCGGGAGGGCGCUUACCACUUUGUGAUUCAUGACUGGGGUGAAGUCGUAACAAGGUAACCGUAGGGGAACCUGCGGUUGGAUCACCUCCUUACCU
rnacentral:rRNA from 1 species